rnacentral:rRNA from 1 species
UACAGAGGUCUCAAGCGUUGUUCGGAUUCAUUGGGCGUAAAGGGUGCGUAGGCUGUGGGGUAAGUCUGGUGUGAAAUCCCGGGGCUCAACCCCGGAACUGCACUGGAUACUGCUUUACUAGAGCACUGGAGAGGGAACUGGAAUUUACGGUGUAGCAGUGAAAUGCGUAGAUAUCUGGAGGAACACCGGUGGCGAAGGCGGCAUUCUGGACCGACAUUGACGCUGAGGAGCGAAAGCCAGGGGAGCAAACGGG